AACUAGUCGGGAACUGAAGUCGUUCUCCUGAUGAGCCCAAAACAGGGCGAAACUAGUA
rfam:Erythranthe guttata cultivar DTN x IM62 scaffold_80_contig_33, whole genome shotgun sequence.